AAUUCACAACAAGCCUCUGCUGAGACCAGGCUGGGGUGAGACAGCUGGGAGGGUGGUGCAAACCUGAGUACCAGCAGCCCACCUAUACUUACGACUUUGCCAUACUGCUGCUGCUAUGACCCAAAGUGUAAUGGAGCCAGCUGAGUACCCUCAGGUGUACAUCAGACCACCUGCCAGAGUCAGCCACCACUGUCCACGGACAGAACACCAGAAGGAAAUCAAGGGGAUAAUAAGUGCCAGAGUUCCCACGUGCUACUGUCCCUUCCCUCUAACCUCUCAGGUUUCAGCUGCUAAAUCUCCUGCUCCAUUAGCUGGAGAAUAUGAUCAAAUGCUCUGUGACACCAUGAGAUGGAGAUAAGUAAGACCUAGAAGUAGGAAAAAAUUUUGUGAUUAAAUGCACCCCAAGUUGGGAAUAUUGGGGAAUCUUGUGUUGAAGUAUUAUCCUAUUGGUGCUACCAGCUGACCUGCUUCACCACACUUACCCAAGAACUUAAUGAAAUAUAGUAAUUUCCACUGCAGCAGUUGCAUCCAUCAAAGACCUUCUUACAGGCCAACAACCUCAUGUGCUACAGAGGUGGGAAAUAAGACUAAGGGAGAAGGCUGCUCCCAUCUCUAUCCAAGAUGGCUUUGCUACCAGAAGGAUGUGCAGUGAGUAGAAGCAGUAUUCUCCAGUCCUUAACCUACAGAAGGACCUCAGAAAAGGAAAUCUUUCACUACAUCCAUUAAGAAGCGAUUUGUAACUGAUGCAGACAGAAACCCUUUCCAGCAGAUUUAAUCCAACCAACAAGUCCAUUCUGCAACACUGGAUAGAUUGGUAGAAAUUACACUAGAGAAUACAGUAGUGGACAUACAGAGGAAUAACAAUCUGGGACAAGCUGUCACAGCUAUCUUGGUCAGAAGCCAAGCCUGAAUAAUUUAUGAAAGAUCCUUGACAAUGUCAUGUAGUCAGGGUUGAUACAUUUGAUAAAGCCUACUUGGAUUUCCAUAAAGCUUUGACUAGCCCAAAGGCUCUUAAGGAUAGUAAGCUGCCUUGCAAUAACAGAUCCUCACAGGAUAAAUAAUUGAUUAGAGCCAGGAAAUAAAGAACAGGAGAAAAUAAUUAUAUUUUUUUUUCCAAUGGAAAAUGUUCAGCAGAAAAGUCCGCUAUGGAUCAGUGCAAGGCACUGUGUUAUUCAUCAUAUUAAUAAAUGAUCUGAAAAAGAUGGUCAAGAGUGAAGUUUGUUGAUUAUACUGUGCUGAAUAACUCAAAAUCAACAAAGCUGACUGUGAAGUACUGGAGAACAACCUCAUGAAGCUGAGUCACUGAACAGAUGAAGUGCUAUACUGAUGUAAACUGCCAUAUGCGGAGAAAAACUGUACUAGCUUUAAAUACUCAGUGAUUGUUUCUGACUGAAUUACUGCUCUGGAAAGAGAGUUAUGACUGAGAACUUUAUGAAAACUACUUCUACUAAGCACCAGUGCUCAGUGGCAUUUAGAAAAAUAAACAUCAGGGAUUGAUAGAAAAAGAAAAUUGAGAAAAGAAUAGAGAACAUGAAAAGGUGGAUGGGGGUUGAUUAUUUAGUGUUUCUCACAAUAUAAGAAUUGGAUUUUCAAAUGAAAUAUCAUGUUGCGGCCUCAGAAUAAACAAACAGGAAAGGGCACUUUAUUUUGCACAGUACAUAGCUGGUGUGUGGAACUCCUUGAUGCAUUAUAUCGUGAAUACCAAAAUUUUGCAGGGUUCCAAAGAACACUCAGUCUGGGUGAUAAAUCCAGGAAGACUCAACAGUACCACCUCAGGCAUGAGGUCCCUACACCACAAAUCACACGCUGCUGGGACUGUCUACUGGCAAAAUUGUCAUUGGGUGCUGAAAGUUACCGUAACUUUAAGUUUAGGAUUGUAGAAGUUUGGCUGUGGAACAUUUUAAAAUGGCAAAUGAUUAGCAUGGAUAUAAACACUCCUUUUCAAGGCACUACUAGUAUUUAGUAAUUACAUUAACAGGAAGAAAUAAUUACAGAAUACUAAGGGACCUUUACUUGCUUGUUCUACCAUUAGUAUUAAUUUCCCAAAGGCUUGAGUGCCCCCAGCCCCAAAGAAGAUAUUAACACUUAGAAAGCUCCUACUUUUUCUCAUCCUCAAAUUCCUUGUUAAACAGCCCUUGAUGCACUGACCAAUAGAGAAAAAAGGCUAUAUGGAGGAAACCAGAUGGUGGUAUGUCUACUUUCUGCUUUUAUCACAAAGAAUAUUAAGCCGUGGCUUUGUCUUGCCUCAUAACCUGCUUUCUAACAAUUAGAAAAAGCCCAUUUAAAUCCUGACUGGCAUAUUUAUCUGGCAGCCUGUCAUCUUAUUCCUCUGUCUUUGCCUCUCACAAGGAUUUUAGAUAGAAAUGCACUAUCCAUUU